UGACUUGAGUGGAAAUCAAGAGUCAGACACUUAACCAACCAACCAAGAAUCGGAGUGAGCCACCCAGGCGCCCAUGUGAACAGAAGUUUAAAUGAAGAGAGAAGACAAGGCAUUGGCUACCUGGGGAGGUACAUACUUUAAAAUCUCAUCUAAAAGCCAAGUGGAAGAAAUGGGUGCUUAUUCUGAGCAGUGCUCUCUACAGUUUGGGACAAAUGAAAAUAAUUAGAUACAACGAAGACCCAGGAUGAGACAUGGCAAAUGAGUUUUACGGCAAUUCUGCUUUCUUAGAAGUGGUGGCCUAAGACUCCUUGGUUCAUAUGUAGCAUCUGGAAAAUCCAUCAGCAGAGGGUGAUAUUGUCGUAUGGUGGUACCGGACCCCACGUUCAUUCCAGGAUAUGAUUCAUAGCAGACCUGUGCAUGUCUGUCACGUACCAGACUCCGUGGAAGGUGCUGGAAUACCAAGCGCUCCCUGCCACCAGGAAGAGCUGGUGGUCAUCCACAGUGGUUCCAAACAACCCCCAUCACACACUAGAAUCAUGCAGGGGUCCUCUGUAUAUAUCUACAUCUGGGCCCCCUUCCGGGCUAGCUGGUUCAGAAUCUCUGGCCCAGGGCCUUACACAUUCACGUCGUUAAAACCACAAUGCUGCUUAUGAGCAUCCAGAGCUGAGACCCACUCGUCUGGUAGAAGGGUGGACACAGAGAGAGCAAAUCGCAAGCAAUGGGAUCAGAGCCAUCGCAACAGCUGGUGGGAAUGCACUGGAAAAUGGCCGUAUUUCUCUUUGGUGCAUAACUACAACUCAGAAAUAAAUGCUUUUAGAACCUGGGGGCCAGAUGACCUGGUUACGUAGCAGAUAAAUGUUGCGUGUAUUUAUUUCCCACUCCCACUUCCCCAAAAUUGAUCAAAAAGUGACAAGUACCAUUCAUUUAAUGAUUAUUUUUCCUACAUGGGGCCGAACAAAUUUUAUUUUUCUAUAUGAGCCAGGAGUUGGAUAUUGUAUCCUUAGGCAAAUAAAGAAUUUUAAUUAAAACAUAGUGUCUUUUCCUAACUGGCAGACAUGAGAGAAAGGAAAAUAUGAGAAUCCACAGGGUAACCGUCAAAAAGAAAGAAUUAACAUGUCCUCUAAAAUUAUUUUAAAAGGUCAGAAUUUUCUGAAGUAUGUUGGUGAAGGUGAUCUGAAAAUCUCUUCCUCUGCCUAUACCUUUGAUGGUGGGCAUUGAAGUGUUUGGACUGGAAAAAAGGCAGACUUUUCUGGGUAAUUAAUUGAGGUUUCAUUUAUUCAGCUGAAGAUCAAGCUUUGUUUUCCUUACCCCUUGAUUUGGGCGGCUAACAACAAGAAAAUGAGAGUAAUUUCAUAAGCGCUAACUUGUUCAGAGUGGCACUGCUAAGUAAAUAUUGGUAAACCAUUCCUGUCCUUGGGUGAUAAAUGAGGAGGUUUUAAAAAGCAAUGUUUGCAAUCCAAUAGGCGCUUCACAAAAGUCAGCUAGGAAGUCUGCAGGCAGCGUCUUGUCCCCUCACUUCCGGCCUUCCUUACUCUACCGCGCUCUCCCUUCCCUCCUCUCCUCACAGGGAAAACAGAAGCUUCCGUCCACCGUAUAAAUUCAUACGAACGUCUUCAACACCAGAAGAGCAGCCACCCAAACUUCCAGGUAUCUGUGCUGCCGUGCUGUCUUCUUGGAUUUUACAGUCACCAACAGUGGGUGAAUCUUGAGAAAUGUUCACAGUUUCAGAGAAGCCGCAUCCUCGAAUAUUUAAAAGUGAUACUUAAGAGGAGAACACAGGCAGCAACCUCUUUGACCUCAGCUGGAGCAACUUCUUACUCAACAUAUCGCUGGAGGCAAGGGAAACAAAAGCAAAAAUGAGCUAUUGGGACCUCAUCAAGAUAAAAAUCUUCUGCCCAUAGAAGGAAACGAUCAGCAAAACUCAAAGACAGCCUACGGCCUGGGAGACAAUAUUUGCAAGUGACUUUUCUGAUUAAGGCUUAGUAUCCAAAAUCUAUAAAGAAUUUAUCAAACUCAACA